GCUUUAAUGUGGCUUUGUUGGUAGAGCAUUGCGCUAACAACACAAAGGUCCUGGGUUCAAUUCCCAAGGAAAGCA